GGAGGUAGCAUUUUCCCGCCGAGUCCUCCUUCCCAGGCCUCGGUUUACCCCCAGUAAAAGAGCCCACAGCCCUACCCCUGCAGUUGAGGAAACAGUUCUGGCAAUGCAGGGGCCAGUGUGGCUAAGGCAUCCUGCAAGACCACCCUCCUGGCACAAGCUGCCCAUCCCGGCUGCGACUCAGUUUCCCCUAGCUGUGAAAUGGUGGCCUAUAAGAGUAUUGACGGCGAUGUCGCUCAGGUUUCCUAGAUCUGGCUCCAGGCUCUUGCCAACCCUCCAACACCUCCCCAGUAAGCGUCCCCACAGAGCUCAACCCGGGCCUGCACUGACCCACUUUCUCUUGCGUUCUCCCCAUCAAGUCACAGAGGUCCAGGGGUCCCCCAUCCUCUGAGAGGUGUCAGAGCAGAUCAAAGGGAGGGGAGGGAGCACAACUCUUGGGUGACCCUGGACGAAAGCUUGUGGGGCCCAGCUGGCCUCAGAUCCUCUCCCUUCCAUGUCUUUGACCUAUUGGGAAGUGGGAGCUAGAGGGGACGGUUAAUCAGGGCUUCUCCUACUAUGGUGCACUCCCCACCCCCAGCAGCCUGGCUUGGAGGUGCAGCCACCCUGGGGGUCUGGCUUGGCCAAAGGGAAGCGUACACACAGGGAAGGGUCUGGGCUGGGACCCUCUCGGGUCAUACCCCGCAAACGCAAGCCAACGGCUCUCACACCAAGAACGAGAGGCUUAUGCUCUGGGUUGAACAGAGCUGGGCCGGCCCACAAAGGUUCAGCAGGCUGGGCAAGAGAGGGGGCCUUAGCCUUGGCUUUCUGCUUCCCACCUGCUUCUCCCCAGACCCCACUCCUCUUCUAGGACACUCCAUGCACAUAGGCCAUGCAACCAGCAUGCUCAAGCACUCUGGGUGUCCACUGCAUGUUCCUCUGAGUCUCAGUUUCCCUUGAGUUGUCCUUACCACUGGACCCCUGUAACUUCCAUCCGUGGAGCUACCUGGGGCAGGAGCAGAAGACUGUACCACUGCCCUGAGAGAACUUGGCCUGAAUGCUUACAUGUGUCUGGAGGAGGUGACCCUUUCUGCUAGAGGAUGAAGGGCAGGCAGCCAGCACUGUGGAGCAGCACCCCGAGACUCUCGACUCCCCAGCCCCAGCUACCUGCCUUGCCACCAGCCUCCAAGCUGCACAGAUCCGGGCUCUAACACUGAGGACCAGGUCCAGGCAGCCGUGGCUCACAGCCACAGAGGUCCAGGCCGCCCCAAGCCGCCAGCACAUAUGUGCCGGGCCCCCACAGCCAGCAGCCCGUCUGGCUCCCUGGAGCUCUGCCCAUGCCCUGCCCUGCAUCUCAGUCAAUCACAGGAACUGCAACAAUCACAGCAAACUCCCUCCUCCCCCACCAGCACCCCAGGAGCCAGGCGCUAUUGCCCCAUCUGAAGGUUCGGUACUGGGGCACAGCUCGUGUCGGGAGGACCCCACGAGGCCUCCUGACCUCACUGUACAUCCCAACUUCAGAGUUCUCAGGGCCUGGCCAAGAGCAGACUGGGCUCUACACCUCCUGGGGCUGAGCAGGGGCAAUGGCCAGUCACCUGCUGGGCUGCAGGCAGAGCCUCAGCCCUGCUCAAGCCUCCCCCGGGGCUGACCCACUGACUGAUGCCGGCAACGAAGGCAGAGAGACUCCGUGGAAGCAAAACCCUCAGUGUCACCAGGCUGACUGCUGAGCCGCCCAGAACAGACCCCGCCCAGCUGUCUGGGCCCUGAGGGCUCACACAAGUGGAAAGUGCUGUUCUGAGGGUUGGGCUGUGUCCUGCCCAUUUGUCACAUGAUGCCCUGCAUACCCAAGGGGGUUGGAAUCCCACUUUCUUUCCCUCCCCAGAGGCCCCAGGUCGUGCAAUGAGCCACUGCAUGCUGGCUUGUGGUCCACCUAGGCCCCUUGAUUUUUUCCCCACUUGGCCAUUUUCACCCUUCCUGAGUCCCUGGGCUGUUACCUGCAGGACAAGCUGUUGCCAGGCCAUCGACAAGGGCUGCCCACUGCCCACGCCACUGCUGCCCAUGCCAGGCUGCUGGGCACGCUCCAGCUGCAGGGCAACAUGGCGCCGUUCCUGCUCCAAUGCCCGUGUCAGCCGCUCGAAGCGGGCCUCCUGCUCCUUCACUGAGGCCAGGAUGCUGGCAGCCGAGUGCACGUUGCAGUCCUCCAUGACCAGGAUGCUGGCUGACUGCAGGCAAAGCAGAGCAAGUCAGGGUGGGGCCAGGGCGGGGGACUGGAGAGGCCGUCGUGGGCCCCCUGCCCACCCCACUCACAGAUCACAUGACUCACUCCCAGACCACAUCAUCCAGCUCUCUGGAGAGAAGCCACAUUGAUUAAAUUCUAAAUUAAAAGCCAUU